UACAGAGGUCCCAAGCGUUGUUCGGAUUCAUUGGGCGUAAAGGGUGCGUAGGCGGUUUGGUAAGUCAGAUGUGAAAUCCCGGGGCUCAACCCCGGAACUGCAUCCGAUACUGCCAGACUAGAGGACUGGAGAGGUGACUGGAAUUCUCGGUGUAGCAGUGAAAUGCGUAGAGAUCGAGAGGAACACUCGUGGCGUAAGCGAGUCACUGGACAGUAUCUGACGCUGAGGCACGAAGGCCAGGGUAGCGAAAGGG
rnacentral:rRNA from 1 species